UACGAAGGGGGCUAGCGUUGUUCGGAAUUACUGGGCGUAAAGCGCACGUAGGCGGGUUUGUAAGUAGAGGGUGAAAUCCCAGGGCUCAACUCUGGAACUGCCUUCUAGACUGCAAGCCUGGAGGUCAGGAGAGGCGAGUGGAAUACCGAGUGUAGAGGUGAAAUUCGUAGAUAUUCGGUGGAACACCAGUGGCGAAGGCGACUCGCUGGACUGAUACUGACGCUGAGGUGCGAAAGCGUGGGGAGCAAACAGG
rnacentral:rRNA from 1 species